UCUUAUGGAUGAGCAAAGAAGGUAGUUUCUUGAAAUGAAAAGUACUCCUGAUGAAGAUGCUGUGAA
rnacentral:pre_miRNA from 4 species